AGCAGUGUGGUGUAAUGCGCACACGGGGUCUUCUUAGGGCUAAGUUGAAUUCUAACCCCGAGGUCCUUGUUCGAGCCAAGGCGCUGCUG